rnacentral:rRNA from 1 species
AUACCCGGGUAGUCCAGACCGUAAACGGUGGGCACUAGUUGUGGGAACCUUCCACGGUUUCCGCGACGCAGCUAACGCAUUAAGUGCCCCGCCUGGGGAGUACGAUCGCAAGAUUAAAACUCAAAGGAAUUGACGGGGCCCCGCACAAGCAGCGGAGCAUGCGGCUUAAUUCGACGCAACGCGAAGAACCUUACCAAGGCUUGACAUAUAGGGAAAAGUGGCAGAGAUGUCAUGUCCGCAAGGGCUCUAUACAGGUGGUGCAUGGUUGUCGUCAGCUCGUGUCGUGAGAUGUUGGGUUAAGUCCCGCAACGAGCGCAACCCUCGUUCUGUGUUGCCAGCAUUUAGUUGGGGACUCACAGGAGACUGCCGGGGUUAACUCGGAGGAAGGUGGGGAUGACGUCAAAUCAUCAUGCCCCUUAUGUCUUGGGCUGCACGCAUGCUACAAUGGCCGGUACAGAGGGCUGCAAUACCGUAAGGUGGAGCGAAUCCCAAAAAGCCGGUCUCAGUUCGGAUUGAGGUCUGCAACUCGACCUCAUGAAGUUGGAGUUGCUAGUAAUCGUAGAUCAGCAACGCUACGGUGAAUACGUUCCCGGGGCUUGUACACACCGCCCGUCACGUCACGAAAGUCGGUAACACCCAAAGUCAGUGGCCCAACCGCAAGGGGUGAUCUGCCUAAGGUGGGAUGUAUUGGGAACGAAGUCGUACAGCAAGGUACCAAUCUGAAUCCCGUGGCCGCCCAUGGCG